rnacentral:rRNA from 1 species
UACGGAGGGUCCGAGCGUUAUCCGGAAUCAUUGGGUUUAAAGGGUCCGUAGGCGGGCGUCUAAGUCAGUGGUGAAAUUCUGCAGCUCAACUGUAGAACUGCCAUUGAUACUGGUCGCCUUGAAUCGUUGUGAAGUGGCUAGAAUAUGUAGUGUAGCGGUGAAAUGCUUAGAUAUUACAUAGAAUACCGAUUGCGAAGGCAGGUCACUAACAACGUAUUGACGCUGAUGGACGAAAGCGUGGGGAGCGAACAGG